rnacentral:lncRNA from 1 species
AAAAAAAAAAAAAAAAAAAAAGACUCCACAUAAGUCAAGCUUGGUGAGCCAGUGGAUUUACUGGGAUCCCUUAUAGGAGUGCAGGGGAGAAAGGUUAAGUACAGGAGCAUGGACAACUCAAUGACAGCUGCAUCACCAAAAUGUCCCAGGCCAGUCUGGGGGAUGAUUCAUGAAAGCUGCUUCCCUGAAGCUCCUUGUAUAACAUAUGGGAAAGUCCACUCAACAGUUUCUUCUCCCAGCAUAGUUUACUGUGUGUAAUUCCUUGAGGAGAGCCUCAUGGAUAUUGUAAGUUUCAUGAACUUCCUGAGCCUUCUGAACUUCCUGACCACAUCCAUGGAGGAGUAUUUCAAUUUGGACAAAAUAAAGCCUCCGUUUCUUCUCCUGUUCCUCUAUGAUCUUACUUCCCCAGGCUACUAUCCCUGAUUUAAUUGCAAUCGGGAAGCCUCAGGGAGUCACCUAAAGGCUGUGCAUACCAGUAAGUGACAAGAUCAUUGGAAAACAUGUAUCUAAGUAUACAAUCAUUAGAAAUAAACAACCCUCCUCUCUUCUAGAAAAAAUUUUCCUUGCCUAACCUCAGGUAAAUUUUACCCAGCUUCCAGGCCACUACCUGCCCCUCCUCUUCUGUAAACUUAUCUUACUUUGUGGGCCCUAUGAUAUUGUUUAAUACUUGCUAUAUUGUUGUGACAUAAUACCUAACAGAAAUCACUUAUUGAAGGAAAGGGUUAAUGGUUCACAUUUCUAGAUCUACACUCUGAAGGCUGCCAGAGCAGGACCCCAGCCUAUGGUAUGGUAACACCCCCAUUUAGGUUGAGUUUUCUCACAUCAGUUAACCUAAAAUACAUAAUCCCUCACAGAUAUGCCUGGGGAUUUGUUUCCAUGGUGAUUCUAAAUUUCAUCAAGUACACGACUGUUCACAAAUCACUUUUACUUUAUCUGUACCAGUACAUUUUCCUUAAAAUUUAUUUUUAGUUUCAUGGUUAUCAAAGUCCUUGAUAGAAGACAGAAAGGAAGACUGUGAUAUCUGCUAAGUGCUGCUGGUUAAUUGAUUAAUAGACUGAAUUAUGAAAGGGUAAUUCCAGCCUUCACAUGUCUUUUGGUAUAGGUUCAAAAUCCAGAUUCUCACACAUUAUCUUCUUCUUCCCACCCAGUGUCGUUUCAGUGGGCAUCUGGGAGGAAAGAGUUCAGGUGCUGAGAAGAAAGAUACAGAGGCAGGGCAUCAGACCCUUUGAUGUGCUUUCUACACUGAGAGCUGCUGAAAAAUGCAAAUGGGAUCUUCAGCUAGUAGAAGCAUAUCAAUAUUAGGAGGUACAUAGAAAAGAGGGAGGAAAGAAUAUGGAACACUUAACAGGAAGAUAAUGCCACUGGCUGGCAGGCACUUAGGAGUCUGGCUCAUAAAAAAAUUACUCCUACAAUUACAUACCAAGUUUUGCUUAGCAUUUGUGUGUGAAUCAUGGUAUUGAUUUCAUGCAAAAAGAAAACACCGCCACAUUUUGUUGCAUGUUAGGAUAUAGAAGAUGUAGUGGAGAGGGAGGGGUAGUUGAGAGAAAACCCAAAAAGGAUGGAUAAAGAUGUCUGUUUCAUUCCAGUUCUUACUGCAAGAACCAGCAGCUGAGCAGUAAGCAGGUUGCUAAUUAAAAAUGACUCCACUUCCUUCUGCCUCUUUUUCUCAAGGGCAGUGCCAGAGAGACACUUGCCAGAUAAAUUUUUAUUCUUCUGUUUUAGUUGGGAUUUAAUCAUUGGAAAGGGGAAGAGAGGAAGAUUUCAGUUAUACCUACGGGUGAAAACAAACUUGAUUCUCACUGAAAAACAACCCAUAUCUCCAGACCCAGAAGAAUGUGAUAGGGACAUUUUUUGGCUGAGAAAACCCACUGAGUUCCUUGUGCCAGUUGGACUGUCAUGGUGCUUAUCUGUAACUGUUGAAGCCUGUCCUGCAAUUUUCUUUUGAAAAAAAGAUUUGGUUUACUUAAUUUGUAUUUGAGCUAACAGAAGCACCCGGAAGAACUUGGGUUGGUAAAUUAAUAGGGUCCAUCACAUGGCCAUCAAAGAGUGAAGCUGUGUACUCACCUUUGGGACCAUCACAGGGCCAUCACCAUCAAAGAAUGAAGUUGUGUACUCACCUUUGGGUAGGGACUAGUCUACUCCUUUAAUUCACUGCCAAUCCCAUAAGGGAAUUCACAGGGGAGGAUGUGCUAGUGUUUGUGUUUUCUUUAUCAUAGGAGUUCCAGAGCUCAUUUUUGUUCAAAUUUAUAUCCUGGCUCUGGAGUAUUGGUCUGACAAGAGUAGAAAUGGGAGGAAGCAAUUAUGAAAGAGAAUAGAGCUGGUGAAGAGAGGCUUUAGCUACUACCUAAAGUAUGAGCCCCAGUGAAAGAACAGGUAGACUGAAAAUGAAAUAAAUGCCUUACCUAAAAGUGUGGCUCCAUCCUUGCAGGAGAUACUUCACUUUGGUCAGGGCCAGAAGGUACUUAGCAGAUGCUGGCAGGGAUAAGAAUAGUGGCCACUCUUACUGAGGGUGGAGACAUUGCCCACCAUAAUUGAAUUCUAGGCUGAUCUCAGAAUGGAACAUCUUUCUGCCCAAGAACCAUUGCUAUGUGGCUGAAUGUACUUGUAUUUUAUUGGGAGAUAAUCUGAUGAUAUCAAGAACAAACCCUUCUCCCAUUUUCCAGGCCUUUACCAAGGCUUUCCCUCCCAUUGGGCCCCCAAGAAAGUUAUUUCCUUGUUGUUCUUUAAUCACCAGUAUUUCUAGGUAGGUUAAGUAUAUGGUUAAUGUGAAAGAUACACUUGGUCUCCUUGCCCAAAACCGUUAGGCCAGGAAAGGAAGAGCAGCUUGAUGAAGUUGCUGUGGAGUUCCUUCGGGCUUUGAACAAAUUGCUCUAAUAUGAGAAGCCACCAGUCUGCUUCCCAGUGUCAUUAAGGAGCCCCAUGUGAAGGAAGGAUAUUAGUUUUCACUUAGAGAGCGAAGGGCACCAACAACUGAGGAGAGAAAGACUGCAAUAUGGUUAAUGGGGCAAUUUGGUGACCCAAUUGGGAGCCCAGACACUUCGCCUCCUGCCAAGCUCUAGCAAAUUUGUAUGAUACAGAAACAGAGCAGGAUGAAUAGAUCAAUGCAUUUGUUCAUUCUAUUAAGGAGGAAAGGGAAAGGCAUAGUUUGGGUUUCUUUCUAUCAAAACCAAUUUCUUCACCUUACAGGCAUGAGGGUUGCAUCGCACCAUCUUUUGUUCAGAGAGCUGGAAAGGUUCCCAGCUGGGAAAGGUCGAGUUUUAUGUAACGAAAUUUGAACCAAUAAUCAGCCUUUCACCUCAGAGACGUCUGUUGUAUUAAAAACUUAAUAAAUAUUAAUUACAUGUUAAGGCUAGUCUCGUUUCAUUUUACAGAUUGCUCUCUCUCUCUCUUUUUUUAAAGUCUGCAAAAAGAGAACCAUUUUUUUUUCUUUUCUAAGAAGUCCUGUAGUAUGACUUAGCUUUCAAUAUAUUGUGUGUUUUCUUUUUAGUUCUGAGGUUACAACAAAAUUCAACUAUAUUUUAUUUUGAACUGAAUUGGCUUCUUUUUACUAUGGAGAAUGAAUGAAGGCAGGCUGAAGGAAAAGCAGAGAAUGGAAUUCAGCCUAGAGUCAGUAUCUUCUUUCAUUGCCUGAGGGGCAUAGCCCUACAUCCUAAUUACUGUUGCAUCUUUCACCUCCAAUCAUCUACCAGUUGUUCUUUCUAGACUGUUACAGGUGGGGAUGACUUCCUGUUGUAGAAGCUGUUGCUUUUCAUCCAUCUAUUCUGUUAACGACAAAACUAUGAUUUAGCUGGGCAGUGGUGGCGCACGCCUUUAAUCCCAGCACUUGGGAGGCAGAGGCAGGCAGAUUUCUGAGUUCAAGGCCAGCCUGGUCUACAGAGUGAGUUUCAGGACAGCCAUGGCUACAAAGAAAAACCCUGUCUUGAAAAACCAAGCAAACAAACAAACCCCAUUAUUUACUUAGAAAUCCAACUUCUUCAUAUUUAGUUCCUGUUUAGGACAAGGAGGCUUCAAUUGUGGGUCAUUGGCUCUGGGCUGCCUGACCAAUCCCAGCACUAAGUACUUUUGUCUUCUGGUGAACUCACCUAGACAUAUGAAGCCGCUGAUGCUGACAGCUAGCACAGUUCCCACUUCAGAGAAUAUGAUGAACACAGCUCAGAUGAAUACAGCAAAAAUUAGUUCCAGGUAAUCAUCUUAAAACAACUUGACUUCCCUUCCUGGGAGAAUUAGAGCUGGAAGGGCAGAAGCAUGGAGCUGUGGAGGUCAUUCACAGCAAAGCCAGUAAGUAUGCAAAGAGCAGAGUCUAGGAUGGGCAGGUACAUGGUUCAACCACCCUAACCCUGGGACCCUCACAAACACUCACAUAGCUGUUUUCCAACACACAUGGGCUAUGUGCAUAUCUCAGUCUUAAAGUGCCAGACCAGGCAGUGAUUUUUAAAAAGUCUGACAUGCUGGAUUGUUUCAUACUCGUUGAUAGGAAAUGAGAAAGAAGACAAUGGACUCUACAUAGAAAACAUCUAUCUACAAACAUGAGUAAGUGUUUCAAUAAUUGCUGAAGAACAACAAGCCAAUGAAUGCUGCAGGCGAACUGACCUGGGAAAGCUUCCUCUUGGCCAACAUGGAAAUAGGAGGUUCAGAUUGGUGGAGGAAAAGAGGGACACCUCACACUUGCCCAGCAUGAUCAGCAGUAAAAAACACCAUAUGGAGAAGUUCAUGAUCAGGGGAGAGGAAGGCAGCUGCCUGGAGCCCUAUCCAUCAUCCACAUUCAGGUUCCCACGAUCAAUGCCACAGUCAGUCAUUGGCCAUCCUUGAAACACCAGAAUCAUUAUGAACAAACACCAGAGACUCACAGAUUGAAUUCCUCUUACUGCUCCAGAGGCCAGCAAUGCCAAACAUACAGGAUGCACAAAAAUUGCUUUAUGAGAUUGCUGAUUCUCUGAGACCAGCUACAUCCUUUUCUUGAAUCUUAUCUUUCUCAUCUACUUCUCUGACUCCAGAGCUUUUCUAUAAUAAUGUUUUGAGCUGAAAGUACACUAUAUUUCAGAUCUCCCUUUAAUAUUUUGGUUAAGAUGAAAAUCAUGUCUCUCAAGAGGGAGAAUAUCCAAAUUUGAAUCUUGACCUUUAUUUGGAUUCCCGGAGUAACUUUGUGAAAACUCUCUUAUUCUCCCAUUCCCCAUUCCAUUAUUUAUAAAAUAAAACUGUCUUAUACCUAA